rnacentral:lncRNA from 1 species
CGUUAACAGUGCUGUUUUGGCCAUAGCAAGAGCAGCGUCUGCGAGGUGUGAAUUCUUUCUCCUGAUCUUAAGCACAGCACAGAGGAAUAGGAAACAGAACUUGAGCAUCCUGCCAGUAAUAGGCACUGUCAAGAGCCGCAAAUCCAGAAUGCAAGUCAGUGAAACACCGCGCUGAGUUAGAGCAGCAUAUGAGGUACGUGCAUGAUCACAGGCUAAAACUUAACUGGCGCUUCUUCCUUCCAGUGCUAUCUCCUUUGACACUGUUAAUUUGACAGAGAGUAGAAGUGGGGCUUGAUCUUGAAAAUAGACCUGAAGCUAAGAAUUCCAGCACUCUGACUUGUCCACCUCUUGCCUUGGGCAAAUCACCUAUCAAAAGUGUAAGGUUAGAAAUACUAUUUAAAAUGUAUCCUUGGAUUACCUAGCAACAUUUGAGAUGAAUUUUAAAAAG